ensembl:lncRNA
CCCUGUGUAUCUUAGGCCUUCUGAAGGUAACCUGAUGAAGACCUUAAAGAUAUAAAGGCCAACCAUGGAGGCAGGGGAUACUUAAAAACAGAUGAGAUGAAGUGAAUUCAAGUUUGCCUGCAAAACUUCGUUUUACAUGAGAGGAAUGACAGCUUCAGAAUACAAGAAAUCGUGAAUUUCUGAAGAGAACGAGAAGAACUCUUUAAGCCGAUCAAGAAAAAACGCGGCCAAAAGGUCCAAGCUGACCAUGGCAGGGCUAACUCAAGAAGAGCUCGCUGGUCGGUUCUUCGUGAAAGACGCUCAAAGGUCAGAGGAACGGACAACAAAAUAGAGCCCGGAACGGACUGGGGUGACACGCGCGGAGCUGACAGAAC